AUUGAACGCUGGCGGCAGGCCUAACACAUGCAAGUCGAGCGAGCGGCGGACGGGUGAGUAAUGUCUGGCAAACUGCCUGAUGGAGGGGGAUAACUACUGGAAACGGUAGCUAAUACCGCAUACCAUCAGAUGUGCCCAGAUGGGAUUAGCUGGUAGGUGGGGUAACGGCUCACGUAGGCGCCGAUCCCUAGCUGGUCUGAGAGGAUGACCAGCCACACUGGAACGGAGACACGGUCCAGACUCCUACGGGAGGCAGCAGUGGGGAAUAUUGGACAAUGGGCGCAAGCCUGAUGCAGCCAUGCCGGGUGUGUGAAGAAGGCCUUCGGGUUGUAAAGCACUUUCAGCGGGGAGGCGUUACCCGCAGAAGAAGCACCGGCUAACUCCGUGCCAGCAGCCGCGGUAAUUC
rnacentral:rRNA from 1 species